rnacentral:tRNA from 1 species
GCUUUAAUAGUGUAAUGGAUAAGCAUGGCAGACCGGAUAGCUGUAAGUACGGGCUCGAGUCCCGCUUCAAGUU